AGUUAAUUAAAACAAAGCAUUGCGAAGGCCCAAGGUGGGUGUUGACGCGAUGUGAUUUCUGCCCAGUGCUCUGAAUAUCAAAGUGAAGAAAUUCAAUGAAGCGCGGGUAAACGGCGGGAGUAACUAUGACUCUCUUAAGGAAUCGUUAGCCCCGAACUCUAGGGGUUAUUACGUCUCUGUAUGAGGAUCA
rnacentral:ncRNA from 1 species